rnacentral:rRNA from 1 species
UGGGGAAUAUUGCACAAUGGGCGCAAGCCUGAUGCAGCCAUGCCGCGUGUAUGAAAAAGGCCUUCGGGUUGUAAAGUACUUUCAGCGAGGAGGAAGGCGUUGUGGUUAAUAACCGCAACGAUUGACGUUACUCGCAGAAGAAGCACCGGCUAACUCCGUGCCAGCAGCCGCGGUAAUACGGAGGGUGCAAGCGUUAAUCGGAAUUACUGGGCGUAAAGCGCACGCAGGCGGUAUGUCAAGUCGGAUGUGAAAUCCCCGGGCUCAACCUGGGAACUGCAUCCGAAACUGGCAGGCUAGAGUCUUGUAGAGGGGGGUAGAAUUCCAGGUGUAGCGGUGAAAUGCGUAGAGAUCUGGAGGAAUACCGGUGGCGAAGGCGGCCCCCUGGACAAAGACUGACGCUCAGGUGCGAAAGCGUGGGGAGCAAACA